GAUGAACGCUGGCGGCGUGCUUAACACAUGCAAGUCGAACGGAGAUAUCAUUUUCGAAGCGAUUAGUUUACUAAGAGUGGAGAUGUUGAUAUCUUAGUGGCGGACGGGUGAGUAACGCGUGGGUAACCUGCCUUACACUGGGGGAUAACACUUAGAAAUAGGUGCUAAUACCGCAUAAUGAGAGGAGACGCAUGUCUUCUGUCUGAAAACUCCGGUGGUGUAAGAUGGACCCGCGUCUGAUUAGCCAGUUGGCGGGGUAACGGCCCACCAAAGCGACGAUCAGUAGCCGGCCUGAGAGGGUGAACGGCCACAUUGGGACUGAGACACGGCCCAAACUCCUACGGGAGGCAGCAGUGGGGAAUAUUGGACAAUGGGGGGAACCCUGAUCCAGCGACGCCGCGUGAGUG
rnacentral:rRNA from 1 species